rnacentral:rRNA from 1 species
UAGGGAAUCUUCGGCAAUGGGGGGAACCCUGACCGAGCAACGCCGCGUGAGUGAAGAAGGUUUUCGGAUCGUAAAGCUCUGUUGUUAAGGAAGAACGAGUGUGAAAAUGGAAAGUUCAUACUGUGACGGUACUUAACCAGAAAGGGACGGCUAACUACGUGCCAGCAGCCGCGGUAAUACGUAGGUCCCGAGCGUUAUCCGGAUUUAUUGGGCGUAAAGCGAGCGCAGGCGGUUAGAUAAGUCUGAAGUUAAAGGCUGUGGCUUAACCAUAGUACGCUUUGGAAACUGUUUAACUUGAGUGCAAGAGGGGAGAGUGGAAUUCCAUGUGUAGCGGUGAAAUGCGUAGAUAUAUGGAGGAACACCGGUGGCGAAAGCGGCUCUCUGGCUUGUAACUGACGCUGAGGCUCGAAAGCGUGGGGAGCAAACAGGAUUAGAUACCCUGGUAGUCCACGCCGUAAACGAUGAGUGCUAGGUGUUAGACCCUUUCCGGGGUUUAGUGNCGUAGCUAACGCAUUAAGCACUCCGCCUGGGGAGUACNACCGCAAGGUUG